AUUGAGUUUGAUCCUGGCUCAAGAUGAACGCUGGCGGCGUGCUUAACACAUGCAAGUCGAACGGGGAUGCCAUUUUCGAGGUGAUUAGUUUACUAAGAGCCAAGAUGUUGGCAUCUUAGUGGCGGACGGGUGAGUAACGCGUGGGUAACCUGCCUUAUACAGGGGGAUAACACUUAGAAAUAGGUGCUAAUACCGCAUAAGCGCACGGGGCUGCAUGGCCCAGUGUGAAAAACUCCGGUGGUAUAAGAUGGACCCGCGUCUGAUUAGCUUGUUGGCGGGGUAACGGCCCACCAAGGCGACGAUCAGUAGCCGGCCUGAGAGGGUGGACGGCCACAUUGGGACUGAGACACGGCCCAAACUCCUACGGGAGGCAGCAGUGGGGAAUAUUGGACAAUGGGGGGGAACCCUGAUCCAGCGACGCCGCGUGAGUGAAGAAGUAUUUCGGUAUGUAAAGCUCUAUCAGCAGGGAAGAAAGAAAUGACGGUACCUGACUAAGAAGCCCCGGCUAACUACGUGCCAGCAGCCGCGGUUAUACGUAAGGAGCAAGCGUUAUCCGGAUUUACUGGGUGUAAAGGGAACGUAAACGGUUACGCAAGUCUG
rnacentral:rRNA from 1 species